CAUUUGUAAUUUUGAUGUUGAAAUAUAAUCUAAUUUUCACUCUAAUUGGCACCAGCAAAUACAAGGCUUCCACUUAAUGCAAUGUUUAAUACAGCCUCCUCUCUUUCUCGACUCAGAUAUGUUUGUUUGGUUAGCAGCAAACUUGAGACUGACGGAGGCAUCCUACAUAAUUUGAACCUGACUUAGUUAAUAACGGUUGGACUUCCAAGGUGAUCUACAGAAGACAAUCUUCUAGCACUACACACGGUCUACCAUGAGCUUCAGGACUCCACUGCAACACAAAAAGAGAGAGACUGAGACAAAGAUGGCGGGAGGAAGAAAAAGAACAACUUCAAAUGAAAACUCAUUUCUAAAUCACAUGAAGUCAUCACAUUAUUUAUUGUUGUUUGGAUUUCUAUUGUGUUUAUUUGUUUAUUUAUCUGCUCUACUCUUUGACUUACUACUUCUCGCUGUAACACGCAAAUUUCCCCCACAGGG